UUUUUAUUAACAUAAUGGUUGAUUGAUUGCAGAGAUGCUCUUGAUGCAUUGGGGCUGGUUCGAUAUUGUUGUAGGCGCAUGCUUAUGACUCAUGUUGACCUUAUUGAGAAACUCUUGAAUUAUAAUUCUCUCGAGAAAGUUGAUGCCAGUUAAGGAUUCUUGUGGAGCUGCAUAUUUCGUUGCAUUUCCUGUGGUCAUAUGUCAAUGGUUUUUUGUUUUGCCCUUUUUCUUUAUAUUUUUUUCCAAGAAUCUGUUCUUGUUAGUGUUCUGGGUCGGCCUUAAGGUGCAGCUUAUGCUAAUUACUUUGUAAAUUUCAGUAUGUUUGCUGCAAAUCUGUGUUUUGGUUAAUAUUUCAUACACUAUGAUAUGAAAGGCCAAAUUCUAGAACUGUGACCAGUUUUUAUAAAAAAAUUGGUUCAUGUAAAUGUCAGAUUUGAUACUAAUUUUUAUCUAGGAAUAUUGAUAUGGAUGCUUCCUUGAAAA